GUGGGGAAUAUUGGACAAUGGGGGAAACCCUGAUCCAGCGACGCCGCGUGAGUGAAGAAGUAUUUCGGUAUGUAAAGCUCUAUCAGCAGGGAAGAUGAUGACGGUACCUGACUAAGAAGCACCGGCUAAAUACGUGCCAGCAGCCGCGGUAAUACGUAUGGUGCAAGCGUUAUCCGGAUUUACUGGGUGUAAAGGGAGCGUAGGCGGCCGUGCAAGUCAGGUGUGAAAUCCCGGGGCUCAACCCCGGUACUGCACUUGAAACUGCGUGGCUGGAGUACAGGAGAGGCAGGCGGAAUUCCUAGUGUAGCGGUGAAAUGCGUAGAUAUUAGGAAGAACACCGGUGGCGAAGGCGGCCUGCUGGACUGGAUACUGACGCUGAGGCUCGAAAGCGUGGGGAGCAAACAGGAUUAGAUACCCUAGUAGUCC
rnacentral:rRNA from 1 species